rnacentral:rRNA from 1 species
GGAAUCUUCCACAAUGGGCGAAAGCCUGAUGGAGCAACGCCGCGUGUGUGAUGAAGGUUUCGGCUCGUAAAACACUGUUGUAAGAGAAGAAUGACAUUGAGAGUAACUGUUCAAUGUGUGACGGUAUCUUACCAGAAAGGAACGGCUAAAUACGUGCCCG